rnacentral:lncRNA from 1 species
UUACCCCCAACCCCGUGCUCUCUGAGACAUGUGCUGUGUCAACUCAGGGUUAAAUGAAUUAAGGGCUGUGCAAGAUGUGCUUUGUUAAACAGAUGCUUGAAGGCAGCAUGCUCCUUAAGAGUCAUCACCACUCCCUAAUCUCAAGUGCCCAGGGACACAACCACUGUGGAAGGCCGCAGGGACCUCUGCCUAGGAAAGCCAGAGACCUUUGUUCACGUGUUUAUCUGCUGACCUUCUCUCCACUAUUAUCCCAUGACCCUGCCACAUCCCCCUCUCCGAGAAACACCCAAGAAUGAUCAAUAAAUACAAAGGGAACUCAGAGGCCGGCAGCAUCCUCCAUAUGCUGAAUGCAGGCCCAUAAGAUGUCCCGGCCUUUCCUUGAACCAGUAGACCCUAAUGAUGCACCAGAUUAUUAUGGUGUUAUUAAGGAACCUAUGGAUUGACCUUUGUAAAGAAGAAAAACAUGUUAGAAGAAAAAUGGAAAAGAACUCUGCAUGCCCUCAGCUCAGAUGCCAUCUCCUCUGGGAGCUCCUCUGGCCCCUGCCAAGGCUGGAUCAGAUGCCCUCAGGGCACACACGAUGCUGAUCCAGGGCCAUCUG